rnacentral:pre_miRNA from 1 species
AGUGGAAUUGCUGGGUCAUAUGUUAAUUCUGUGUUUUAACUUUUGGGGGAAUUGCCAAACUGUUUUCCAUAGCAGCUGCACCAUUUUACAUUCCCACCAGCAAU